GGAAGUAAAAGUCGUAACUAGGUUUCCGUAGGUGAACCUGCGGAAGGAUCAUUAUUGUAUAACCGAGGUGCGAGGGCUGUCGCUGACCCGAAAGGUCGUGCACGCCCGAGUGCCCUCACACACAUCCAUCUCACCCCUAUGUGCACCACCGCGUGGGUCCCCCUUUGGCUUGUUCGGAGGGGGGCUUACGUUUUCACACAAACUUUGUUUGCAGUGUAGAAUGUAUUUUUUGUUUUUGCGAUCACGCAAUCAAUACAACUUUCAACAACGGAUCUCUUGGCUCUC
rnacentral:misc_RNA from 1 species